rnacentral:rRNA from 1 species
GGUGAACGCUGGCGGCGUGCUUAAGACAUGCAAGUCGAACGGGCUCUUCGGAGCUAGUGGCGCACGGGUGAGUAACGCGUAACUGACCUACCCCAAAGUCGCGGAAAACGAUUCGAAAGAAUCGCUAAUACGUGAUGUGCUGCUCCCUCUUGUGGGAUCAGUAAAGGUUUACUGCUUUGGGAUGGGGUUGCGUUCCAUCAGCUAGUUGGUGGGGUAAAGGCCCACCAAGGCGACGACGGAUAGCCGGCCUGAGAGGGUGGCCGGCCACAGGGGCGCUGAGACACGGGUCCCACUCCUACGGGAGGCAGCAGUUAGGAAUCUUCCACAAUGGGCGAAAGCCUGAUGGAGCGACGCCGCGUGAGGGAUGAAGGUCUUCGGAUCGUAAACCUCUGAAUCAGGGACGAAAGACGCUUUAUGCGGGAUGACGGUACCUGAGUAAUAGCACCGGCUAACUCCGUGCCAGCCGCCGCAGUAACAC